CGAAUGAAGAAAUUCGAAAAAUUUCGCGAGAUUAACUUUCGGGAAUGAAGAAACCCACAAAUUUUUGCGAGAUAAACUUUCGCGAACAAGAAUUUUUCAGUUAAAAAAAACUCAAAAUUCUUAGCAUAAUUGAAAAUGUUAUAAAUUUUCUUUCUUAAAAUAAGAUUUAUAACUAUUUUGUGCGUUUUUGGUGAAAAAUGAUAAAAUAGCUUACUGGAUAAACUUUCGCGAAUGAAGAAAUUCGGAAACUUUCGCGAGAUAAAGUUUCGCGAAUGAAGAAAAUCGCACAUUUUCGCGAGACAAACUUUCGCGAAAAUGGCGAAAAAUCGUAAAUUCGCGAAAGUUUCUCCAAUUAAAGUAGUAUUUAUUUUGUACAAAACAUCUGGUUCCUCGAUUUGGUUAUAGAUGGUUUAAUUUGGCGAGUGUAUAAAAACCUUAAAUUUGAUGAUAGCAAAAACAAAAAAAUAGUGGUGUCAAAAUUGCCACUACCAUGCACAGACCUAAUAACGCCUACUUUUUAGAUAUUUUAUUUUUUUGUCGAUUGAAAACCCAGGAUGUAAAUAUACUGUUCGUUAUUUAGGAGAUAUACCGUUAGAUAUCAAUAUACGAGAAACAUCGGACAAGGGCGUGCCAAUUGUUUUCGCCGAUAGUACUUCCAUUCAGAGCCAAUGCUACCAUAAAAUAGCGCGAAGAUUGAUCGAGACAACAAGCUAGGGAAAGAAGAAUGACCAAACCGUGGAGAAAAACCAUAUGGGAUGGGUAACCGAGUCAAUUUGCUCCUGACGCGAGUGUAAGGAAUGUUUGGACAUAAUUCUUUGCUGGCCACACGGCAAAUAUAAAAACUGUUGUAUGAUAAAUAUUUUUUUAUUAAAUGUAUAUAUGAUAUUAAAAAUAAAAUAAAUAGUAGUAAAUAAUAUAA